rnacentral:rRNA from 1 species
GCCAGACUGUAUGGGCUUAUGGCGGAUGCCUUGGUGACAGAAGGCGAUGAAGGACGUGGCAAGCUGCGAUAAGCCGCGGGUAGGCGCAUGCCGCCUUUGAUCCGCGGAUUUCCGAAUGGAGCAAUCCGGCGUCCCUGAUGGGGCGUCAUUGCGCGCUGAACACAUAGGCGCGCAAGGCAAUACCCGGGGAAGUGAAACAUCUCAGUACCCGGAGGAAAAGAAAACAACAGUGAUUCCGCCAGUAGUGGCGAGCGAACGCGGAACAGCCUAAACCGGCAGGCUUGCCUGCCGGGGUUGCGGGACCAGCAACAAAGCAGAAAGCGGACCAAGCGCGAGACUCUGGAAAGUGUCGCCGCAGCGGGUGAUAGCCCCAUGCGCGUAAACUCCUCUCCCUGCGAGCUGGCUCCCAAGUAGGACGGGACACGUGAAACCCCGUCUGAAUCCGGAGGGCCCACCCUCCAAGGCUAAAUACUAUCUGUCAACCGAUAGCGCACAAGUACCGCGAGGGAAAGGUGAAAAGAACCCCGCAAGGGGAGUGAAAUAGAACCUGAAACCAUAAGCCUGCAAGCUGUGGGAGCCGGAAUUUCCGGUGACCGCGUGCCUUUUGCAUAAUGAGCCUGCGAGUUGUCCUGCGCGGCAAGGUUAAGUCGAAGACCUGGCCGAAGCGAAAGCGAGUGCGAACAGCGCGAUUCAAGUCGCGCGGGGCAGACCCGAAACUGAGUGAUCUAUCCAUGGCCAGGCCGAACCCCCGGUAACGCGGGGUGGAGGGCCGAACCAGUACAUGUUGAAAAAUGUUUGGAUGAGCUGUGGAUAGGGGUGAAAGGCCAAUCAAACUCAGUGAUAGCUGGUUCUCUCCGAAAUAGCUUUAGGGCUAGCCCCAGGAUUUAUGAACGCGGGGGUAGAGCGACUGUUCGGCAGCGGGUCCCCACCGGGAUGCCAAAGCCGGCCAAACUCCGAAUACCGCGUCUCUUUGCCUGGGAGUCAGACCCCGGGGGAUAAGCUCCGUGUGGUCGAAAGGGAAACAGCCCGGACCGCCGUCUAAGGCCCCUAAUAGCGCGUUGAGUGGUUUUAAGGAAGUGGAGUCGCACAGACAGCUAGGAUGUUGGCUUAGAGGCAGCCACCAUUUAAAGAUUGCGUAACAGCUCACUAGCCGAGUGAUUCCGCGCCGAAAAUGAUCGGGACUGAAACGCGCAGCCGAAGACGCGGAAUGUGUUCAUUCACAUUGGUAGGAGAGCGUCCCGUGCAGGCUGAAGGUCAAGCGUGAGCGAGGCUGGACCGCACGGGAGUGAUCAUGCAGGCAUGAGUAACGAAAAGGAGGGUGAGAAUCCCUCCCGCCGAAAGUCCAAGGUUUCCUGGGCCAGGUUCGUCCGCCCAGGGUUAGUCGGCUCCUAAGGCGAGGCCGAAAGGCGUAGUCGAUGGACAGCGGGUUAAUAUUCCCGCACCGCAUUCUGCCAGCGAUGGCGUGACGCGGAAGGCCGGGCAGGCCCCCUGCUGGAAUAGGGGGUCCAAGCGCGCAGGGCGCUGUGCAGGAAAAUCCGCACAGCAAUAGCCUGAGGCGUGACGGGGUGCAACUCCUGCGGGAGGAGCGAAGCUGCCGCCGGCCAUGCCGCCGAGAAAAGCGUCUAAGCGUUUUAACGCAUUAUGCGACCGUACCUAAACCAACACAGGUGGACUGGUUGAACAAACCGAGGCGCUCGGGAGAAACCACGUUAAGGAACUCGGCAAACUAGCCCCGUAACUUAGGGAUAAGGGGUGCUCGGAGCGGUUGGCUCUACUAGCGAUUGCAGGCCGCGCCGAGCCGCAGUGAAAAGGCCCAGGCGACUGUUUAACAAAAACAUAGCACUCUGCCAAGUCGCAAGACGACGUAUAGGGUGUGACACGUGACCAAUGCCGAAAGGUCAAGCGGAAGGGUCAGCGGCAACGCGAAGCCCGGAUGUGAAGCCCCGGUGAAUGUCGGCCGUAACUAUAACGGUCCUAAGGUAGCGAAAUUCCUUGUCGGGUAAGUUCCGACCUGCACGAAUCGUGUAACGAUCUGGGCGCUGUCUCAACGUGGAUCCCGGUGAAGUUGUAGUUCCGGUGAAAAUGCCGGAUACCUGCGGAAGGACGGAAAGACCCCAUGAACCUUUACUGUAGCCUGGCACUGGCGGCUGGGCGUCCAUGUGUAGAAUAGGUGGGAAGCUUUGAAGCUCCGGCGCCAGCCGGGGCGGAGCUGCCUGUGAAAUACCACCCUUGGACGUCUGGUUUUCUAACCGGAGAGCGUGAAUCCGCCUCCGGGACCCUGCCAGGCGGUCAGUUUGACUGGGGCGGUUUCCUCCCAAAAUGUAACGGAGGAGUUCGAAGGUCGGCUCGCCGCGUUUGGCAAUCGCGGGACAGAGCGCAAGGGCAUAAGCCGGCCUUACUGCAAGACCGACGGGUCGAGCAGUCGCGAAAGCGGGACCUAGUGAUCCAGCGGUUGAAUGUGGCAUCGCCGUUGCUCAUCGGAUAAAAGGUACUCUGGGGAUAACAGGCUGAUCGCGCCCAAGCGUCCACAGCGACGGCGCGGUUUGGCACCUCGAUGUCGGCUCAUCACAUCCUGGGGCUGAAGCAGGUCCCAAGGGUUCGGCUGUUCGCCGAUUAAAGUGUUACGCGAGCUGGGUUCAGAACGUCGUGAGACAGUUCGGUCCUUAUCCUCCGCAGGCUAAGGACGGUUGACGGGCGCGCCCCCUAGUACGAGAGGACCGGGGGCGGGUGACCUCUGGUGUUCCGGUUGUCUGGCCUACGGGCAUUGCCGGGUAGCUAUGUCGCGACAGGAUAAGCGCUGAAAGCAUCUAAGCGCCAAGCCCCCCCGAAGAAGGCCGUCCCUGGUCGCAAGACCCUAAAGACCCCCGGAAGACCACCGGGUUGACAGGGCGCAAGUGGAAGACCCGCGAGGGUUGCAGCUUAGCGCUACUGAUAGGUCGUGAGGUCUGGCCGC